GACGAACCGUGCGAACGUUGUUCGGAAUCACUGGGCUUAAAGGGCGCGUAGGCGGCUUGCCAAGUCCGGGGUGAAAUCCUCCAGCUUAACUGGAGAAGUGCCCUGGAUACUGGCGAGCUCGAGCGAGGCAGGGGUUGUGGGAACUUCCGGUGGAGCGGUGAAAUGCGUUGAUAUCGGAAGGAACGCCGGUGGCGAAAGCGCACAACUGGUCCUCUUCUGACGCUGAGGCGCGAAAGCCAGGGGAGCAAACGGGG
rnacentral:rRNA from 1 species